GUGAGGGAGGGACACCUACGAAUGAGGUCCUUCCUGCAGGAGAGGGGGGCCCAGACCCCACUGUGUGUAGCCACGGAACCCUGGUGUCAGGGUGGUUCCUCCCAGACGCUCCUGCCACUUUCGGGGUGCAGAGAAGAGCGUGAUUCUCUUGAACAAUGAGAACGGACUGUGGUUCCUUGUCCUUGGAAUGACACUGUGGGCACUGUCCCCGUUUCACAGAGAUGAUGUCUAAUGAUCAGCACUGGAUAAGAGAGUCAGAUUCUGAACCCCCUCCAUGGGACCCCAAAGCCGUCCAUUUUCCAAUGCACCCACCACUGAUUCCAGCCAGAAUCGUGGCACUCUAAGCUUGCUGUUGUCCUUCUCUGCUCUCCCUUUCUUUGGCCUGUCCUACAUUUGGAGCUUCUCCAGGAGGCCGGCACAGACCGUCACACCAGGCCUCCAUCCCACGCAUGGGAUGGCUUCCCCGGAGGACAGCAGCCUGGUAUUCUGGAGUCAGGAUCCAGUUAGCUCCACCGAUUCUGUCUCCACUUCAGUGUCUCUGAAAUGGGGAAGCAAGUUGCCAUCAAUGACACAGUGCCACGGGCCAUUGGAGACGUGCGGUCGUGGUUCACGUGUGCUUGAACUCAGGUGGUUUUCCUGGCGGGAUGACUGGACCACAUCAAACCCCCAAUGUUAGUCAAAAACAAUGAAGUCAAAAACUAUUCCUUCUGGGAAGGAAUGCGUUGUAACUAUGAAAAUCUUUUCUUGACAUCUGAUAAGAUCAAGUAAACUUGGAGGAUGUUCAUUGUUGGGAGAAAUUUCUGGAGUCAGCACUGGUUAUAAUUUCUAUCUCUUUGACCCUCUGCGAUACAUCUUGGACAAUUUCCUGACUCUUUUCCAAUUCAUGAAUUCUCUCUUCAGGUAUAUCUAAUUGAUAAUUAAACCAUUACUUAAAUUGUUA